GUCUUCGUUAAAUAUAUAUCACAUGGAUAUAAAGAGCACUGUUCACUGUAAAUUAGUAUGACUAUAUUAUUAUUUGCUCGAUUCGAAGGAAUCCUCGAUAUUUACAGGCAAUUACAUUGUUCAAGGAGCUACAGAAGUCUUGUAUUAUGAGCAGUAAUAAAUGGAACUAUUUCAAAACAUUUUCAACAUCGCCAUUGCUGCAGCAGUUUUAAUUGUCACACCCACAAACAUGAACUGUGUACACCGUGUGCCCCCUGGGAACUUGGAGUCAUAGACGCAGGUUUACCAGGAAAUCCUGCUCUAAGAAUAAGUUACUCAGUGUUUGGGAGCGCUCUUAAGGAAACAUACUAAGUAUGGCGGCGCAAAUUUUCUGAGGAUUCGUCUCAUCCGGAUACAUCUGCAUGGCUUGAGUGACUUGUUCUUCGGGAAAGAUAGCUGCUAGAUGAUAGUGCAAUUUUCUACGGUCCUCUUGGACGGGAGAACUGCCGGAUAAGUGAUGCGUACCACCUUGAGACCAAACAGGAGGCCACAUGUUCAAUUGUGUAUCCGAACAACUUGAUAUUCUCUGCAUAUGUCUAAAUAAAAAG